AUAGGGGUCGCAUGAUCUUUAUGCCAAAGAUUUAUCGCUUCAAGAUGGCCUCGCGUCUGAUUAGCUAGUUGGCGGGGUAACGGCCCACCAAGGCGACGAUCAGUAGCCGGACUGAGAGGUUGAACGGCCACAUUGGGACUGAGAUACGGCCCAGACUCCUACGGGAGGCAGCAGUGGGGAAAUAUUGGGCAAAUGGGCGCAAGCCUGACCCAGCAACGCCCGCGUGAAGGAAGAAAGGCUUUUCGGGUUGUAAACUUCUUUUAAGAGGGAAGAGCAGAAGACGGUACCUCUAGAAUAAGCCACGGCUAACUACGUGCCAGCAGCCGCGGUAAUACGUAGGUGGCAAGCGUUGUCCGGAUUUACUGGGUGUAAAGGGCGUGCAGCCGGGUCUGCAAGUCAGAUGUGAAAUCCAUGGGCUCAACCCAUGAACUGCAUUUGAAACUGUAGAUCUUGAGUGUCGGAGGGGCAAUCGGAAUUCCUAGUGUAGCGGUGAAAUGCGUAGAUAUUAGGAGGAACACCAGUGGCGAAGGCGGAUUGCUGGACGAUAACUGACGGUGAGGCGCGAAAGUGUGGGGAGCAAACAGGAUUAGAUACCCUGGUAGUCCACACUGUAAACGAUGAAUACUAGGUGUGCGGGG
rnacentral:rRNA from 1 species